CCCAGUAUCGUUAUGUUGCUAAGGAAGUUCGAUGGUGUACUGAGUGCGCGGAAACAGAGCUUAUCAGUAAGCGUUAACGGAAAUGCUAAGUGAGACCCAAUUCCCUGUAAUGUCAGUGCGCAAGUGCAAAAAAGAAAGGAAAUUGCGGUCGAAGACUGACACUGGUUACUGAAGAGAAGGGAGAUGGUAGCAACGGUUGGAUUUGUAAGCUAGUUUUUUUAGAAAUUAAAGUCAUUUUCACAGCUAGGCCUACGUUUAAACUUGGGCAUGAUGUUUAUCAUCAAAUAGUUUAAAUGGCCCGACUCCAGGUGCACGACUUGCGGCAGGCUAGCCAGUUUAAAGGCUGAUUCACAUUGCGUCUAAAUCACUAGGUUGAAAUAACGAAAUGCUACGCCGCAUAUGUUUAGCCACUAGCGGGCAAUUUUUACCGUGAUCCUUUGUUUGAUGACCUACUCCAAAAACCGAGAAGGGCAAGUGGUCUACAGAACUGUGCAUAUGUCCGUAUUGACAGGUGUGGGACCCUAGUCAAGCGAGGUUUUGAUUCUCAUGUAAAUUAUUCACGCCCAAGUCAUGCUGAAAAUAAUGGACAGUGCCUAGACUGAUAUUUGGACAGUGCUUAAAAGGAUAUUUGAAAUAGCAUAACGUUCAUUGAAGCCCAGCUACGUCGUACAUUCUCAUCCUGGAUAGGUUAUUCCUCUCCUGGUAAAUGUUCAGUGUUCUUGAUCUUCGGCUUGACCUUCAAGAAUAGAUGCCAUUCACCAUUCUCUUAUCAUACUGCAAGAGUGGCUCAAUUUUCAAAUAAUUUGAAGACCCCUGCUUGGAACACCGGCAUCGAAUGAACUUCUUGUCCCUUACAUUUAAUGCCUAAGUUGAGUAUAGUAUGUAUGUAAUUGAUAAUUAUAUAUAAUUAAUUUUUAUAUGUUGGCUUUUUAUCCCAUUCAUUGUUUUCUUCUAUGUUUGCCAUUUAUUGUGAUCCCUUCUUCCUGUCGAACCUCAGAUUUCUAGCUUUCUCUCUCCCUACAUAUU